rnacentral:rRNA from 1 species
UACAGAGGGGGCAAGCGUUGUUCGGAAUUACUGGGCGUAAAGAGCUUGUAGGCGGUUUGUCGCGUCUGCUGUGAAAUUUCGGGGCUCAACCCCGAACUUGCAGUGGGUACGGGCAGACUAGAGUGUGGUAGGGGAGACUGGAAUUCCUGGUGUAGCGGUGAAAUGCGCAGAUAUCAGGAGGAACACCGAUGGCGAAGGCAGGUCUCUGGGCCAUAACUGACGCUGAGAAGCGAAAGCAUGGGGAGCGAACAGG